AGGUCCGCGAGCUGUGUGGACUUGUGCCUUGGCGCUUGUGGUUCGGGGCCUUGUGCUGGCACCGAGUGCGCCGGGUUGGCGACUUCAGCACUCUUGGCGUUGGGUGGGCGGCAUCUUGGGGGUCACGUGAGCCAGUGGCAUCAUGCCCGUGGGCGCUGGUGUCAGCGUCGUGGCUUUUCCGGAGGUUCGUCGGCCAGGAGGAAGGGCGGAAAGCACAUCCCGGAAAGGUGGAAAGACUAUCUCCCAGUUGGACAGCGGAUGCCUGGGACUCGUUUCACUGCAUUCAAAGUUCCUUUAAAAAAGAGUUUUGAAAAGAAUCUUGCUCCAGAAGAAUGUUUUUUCCCCCCUUAACAAACUCCAAGAACACAAUGAAGAACUUGGGCUGAUUAUUGACUUAACAUAUACUCGCCGCUAUUUUAAGCCAGAGGCAUACCAGUUGUCAACAAUGCCUGAAAUUUGCUCUAUUUCCUAAUUCGAAUCCAAGUUCUUCUGACUCUAUUCUACUAUUCUACUUAAAUCACAGCUGCUUUAUGGCCCUUGAAAUGUAAGAUAGAACAUAAAUGACUUACCAGAAACUAUUCCUUAUUUAGAAAUUUGUACAAUUGGGUAUCAGGUGCCAGAUGACGACACUAGUUUUAAAUUCCAGUGUGCUGUUAAUGGGUUUCUGAAAGAAAAUAAAGAUAAUGUACGCGGGCCUCUCACUGUUGUGGCCUGUCCCGUUGUGGAGCACAGGCUCCGGACAUGCAGGCUCUGCGGCCGUGGCUUACGGGCCCGCCGCUCCGUGGCAUGUGGGAUCCUCCUGUACCGGGGCACGAACCCGUGUCCCCUGCAUCGGCAGGCGGACUCUCAACCACUGCGCCACCAGUGAAGCCCACAGACUUAUUGGUGUCCACUGUACCCAUAAUUUAAACAGGACUGGCUGCCAUAUCUGCAGAUAUUUGAUUGAUGUAGAAGGUAUGUGGCCAGAUGAUGCAAUUGGAUACUGGUGUUUUAUCUUUACAAGUUCUCCAUCAUUCCAUAAGAAAGCUGCUCUUCUGGUUUCAUAAGAGAUGGUGAACAGUGGGGAUGCAGGUUCGAUCCCUGGUUGAGGAACUGAGAUCCCCCAUGCCGCAGACAAACUAAGCCCGCACACUGCAACUACUGAGCCCACGUGCUGUGGAGCCCACGCGCCACAACUAGAGAGCCCACGAGCUGCAAGGAAGAGCCCACGCACUGUAACGAAGAGCCCACAUGCUGUGACUAAUACCCGACACCUCCAAAAGUAAAUAAUUUAAAUAAAAUCAUAUGAGUGAAUGAACAUAAUACCUUAAGAGAAACAAACAGGAAAAGGAAAAAUUAUUUUUGAAGAUAAAAAGAAUUUUAGAGAAAUGGAAAACAUAAAAGAUAGGCAAAAAAGAGUCAGGACAGCUCUGAAAAGAGUAAUAUAAAUAUGUAUAAGAAUCUAUUAUAGGGCUUUCCUGGUGGCGCAGUGGUUGAGAGUCUGCCUGCCGAUGCAGAGGACACGGGUUCAUGCCCCGGUACGGGAAGAUCUCACAUGCCGUGGAGCGGCUGGGCCCGUGAGCCAUGGCCGCUGAGCCUGCGCGUCCGGAGCCUGUGCUCCACAACGGGAGAGGUCACAACAGUGAGAGGCCCGCGUACCGCAAAAAAAAAAAAAAAAAAGAAUCUAUUAUACCAUAAAAGUGACAUUUCAAAUCAGUGGGACAGAUUAGUCAAUAAAUUGUGAUACAUACAUGUUGAGGUAUAAAUUGUUCUCUGGAAGGAUCCACAGCAUGGCAAAAGCAGAUGUCUCUGAGGAGGGAAAUGUGUGGCUGGGGAACGUGGGGAAAAGGGUGACUUUUCAUUGAAUACCCUUGUGUACCUUUUCUAAUGUUCUGUCAUGUGAAUUUAUUACCUCUGAAGUUCGCCUGAGUUCAAACCCCAGUUCCCCAAAUUACUAGCUCUUGAUCUUGGGCAAACUCUUCACACUCUCCAGGCCUCUUCAUCUGUGAAAUAAGGUCAGUAACUUAGCCUGGUGCUGCCUGGCACAGAAUAAACUGUCAAUAAAUGGAGAUUAUUAGUGUAAAAAAACCAAAUGCCCAUCAAUGGAUGAAUGGAUUUUUUAAAUGUGGUGUAUAUGUGAAAUAUUAUACAGUCAUAAAAAGGAAUGAAGUACUGACACAUUCUACGACAUGGACGAACUUGAAAACAUUAUGCUAAGUGAAAGAAGCCACACACGGUGGUCACAUUUGUAUUAUUUCAUGAAAUGUCCAGAAAAGGCAAAACUAUAGUGACAGAAAGGAAAUUAAUGGUUGCAGGGACUGAAGGAAGAGGGGAUGAAGAGGGCCUGCUGAUGGUUACGUGGGGUUCUUUGUGGGGUGAUGAAAACGUGAUGGGUUAGAUGACGGUGAUGGUUGCAUAGGCUUGUGAAUGUACGAAAUGACACUGAAUUUGCAGUUUCAGAAGGUGAAUGUUAUGGCAUGUGAAUAACAUCUCAAAAAAUUAAUUUUGAAAAUGAAAAUUGCCAGUUUUCCCAUGGUCACUAUCCACUAUCCACUGUCUCCAUCUCUCCCUUCUCCCCACUAUAUUCCUUUUGACGCCCACCCCUGCCACUCUCUCCCAUCCUCACUCCCUCGACCUGCCCCACAAGGCCUCCCAGGGAACCCGUGAACCGCUGGGCACCUGGGUCCUGUGGCUGUUGGAGCGACUGCCCAGUGUGCGUGCCUCCACCGCUUUCACCCGUGAGAGUGGACGCUUCCGUCAGAUUUUUCUUGUGCGUUUCAGUUGAUGGUGAUGUUUACAGAAGGCGGCACACGCCCUGGUCAAUGGAGGAAGCCCCUCAAGAUAAUAUUUAGGCCCAUCCAGAAGUUUGAUCUCGUCCACCAGUAACCUCAGGAUGCUGUGCUCUGAAAGCCAGGUUGGCCGCCUGCAGGCACUUGUAAAUACUGAGGACUUCGGAGGCAUUUGGGCCUCCAGUUGAGGCCUUGUACCUCCACAUGCGACGUGACCUCAGCCCUUUGCUGCACCUCUCUAAGUGAAGUGGCACAGGAAUACUGGCCUUGCCUGUCGUUGCCAGGAUUAACUGAAUAGUGCAUUAGCUGCCCUGGUGCUUAGGUGUUGAGUACAGGGUGAUGUACAUACCAGGCCCUAUUCGUGGGCCUCCUGAUGCAGCAGUUCCCUUGGUUCUGCCCCUGUUGUCAGCUACCCCUAGGAUAACUCUGAGCCCUAGCCACCUCUCUCGUAGAUUUCCCUAUCCCCCCACUAUAAUCACACCUGAAUAAGGCAACUCAAACCUUUCAGAGAUGUGUCCUGAACCUCCUGUUUUCUUAAAUACCUAUCUGGUGGUUGUGAGACUUAAGGCCAGCCUCCCCAAGAGACCUUUUCUAUUUCUCCUAGUAAACCUAGAGUCACCUUCUGUCAUCUUCAACUCUACUCAGAUUUGGUUCUUUCAACCCUGACCUCUGACCCUGCUUUUUACUUCUGCCAUUUCAUCCUCACUCCUGCUUCCUUUCAUAAAUCCAUAAAUGUCUUUUGGCCUUCCUAGCCCUGGGCCAAGUUCCUUUUUCUUUCCUCAGUUUUUACCCCUUUCCUUCAUUGUCCCAUCCAACUUUCAGUCCUUCCUUUCUCAUGCAGACUUUGAUUCCAACCCCAUCAAAAAAAAAAAAAAAAAAAAACACACACCACAGUUAGCAGCAUCUCAAAAUUCA